AACUCUUGGCAAUAGAUAUCUUGGUUGUCACAUUGAUGAAGAAUGUAAGGAAAUACAAUAUUUGGUGUGAAUUAAAGAAUCUCAUGAACCAUUAAUUCUUUGAACACAUGUUAUUCCUGAAGACAUUAGGCCAAGGGAACAUCUACCUUGGCAUCA
rnacentral:rRNA from 1 species